UACGUAGGGUGCAAACGUUAAUCGGAAUUACUGGGCGUAAAGCGUGCGCAGGCGGUUGUGCAAGACCGAUGUGAAAUCCCCGGGCUUAACCUGGGAACUGCAUUGGUGACUGCACGGCUAGAGUGUGUCAGAGGGGGGUAGAAUUCCACGUGUAGCAGUGAAAUGCGUAGAGAUGUGGAGGAAUACCGAUGGCGAAGGCAGCCCCCUGGGAUAACACUGACGCUCAUGCACGAAAGCGUGGGGAGCAAACAGG
rnacentral:rRNA from 1 species